UGUGGACGGUCGUGAGGUAGUAGGUACGCCCUAUAUAUAUGCAAGCAUAAAAACAAUCGAAGGCAAGGAAAACCCUAAUCCCCUGUUCCUGGCUGCUUCUUUUUCUCUCUGGGCACGUUGUUCAUUCCUCUUCCUAAAAUGGCUUCUUCUCCUUUAGUUGUUGCAAUUAUAGGAGAGGAGAAUCCAUUUUAGGAAGGGAAUGAAUACUGUGUCGGUUUUACGAGGGAGACAAUCUGACAAAAUUAUAACAUGGUUUUUGUCCAUUCUUGAAAUUUGACAUCAACUAUUUCAGUUUCAGAUUAAAGCUGAGAGUGAUUGAGGAGAGCAAGCGGAGAAUCUAUGUUUUGCGGGGUUGUGGUUACUAUAUUUCUGUGCUGUAUUGUGGGGCAAAAUCAAUGUUUGGGAAUUGGUUACUGUGCUGUUUUUGUUAAAUUCUGUUGUAUUUUUUAGAUAUAAAUUAAACAAUAUGAUUUAUGACUUCUUAAA